GUUACCUAGAGGCCAGAAAAUGUGGAGAUGGAGAUACUGAGGAGUAUGAUGACCUGGUCCAAGAAUGAUCACUAUCAACUUUUCUACCUUCACAUGAUACUUUUUUCUACUUGUUCUGAAGUGUUAACCAGAAAGAGCAGAAAGUAUCAGCCAGAGAAAAGACAUCUCUCUGUGAGACCAGUAAAUUCUUUAAAGUUGUAUGAUCUCCAGAUCUCCAUUACCACGAUAGCAAAUGACUCAAGGUUUUUUGGCUAGGCCCAUAUGGCAUUUAAUAUCUCCUCUGUAAUUUCAGCCAUAAAACUGUGAAAUUGCUCUAGCUUCUAGGCAGCUUUCAACAUUUCUGUUAUUCCUUCUGCUACUUACAAAGACUUCCUACUUUUUGCUGCUUGUAUCACAAUUUAUUGUUUUUUUCAAUUCUAAUCCUUACAGAUGAAGGGAAAUUGCAUAGCUUUUUAGCUGUAAUUCAGGAGGUAAGUGUGUCCAGGGCUGAUCUUACAAAUGAAUCCUGAUUUGAUGUUGUUUACAGAUAGCUUUUUCUUAAAAAUGACAAGGAUAUUUCCUGUGCAAGAUACAUUAAUAUGUAAUUAUCAUGGAAUAUGUAACCAUCAAAUCAGGUAUUGCUCUAUUUUCCCAAGUAAGUAAACUAAUGCCUUUGAAUUGAUCCUACAUUCUAGCACACACACACAAAAGUCAACAUUUAACAUAUAGUAGAUAUGUUUUAGUUCAUGAUUUUGGGGUGCUAUGAAAGCAAAAGAAACUUGAGACAUAUUCAGGUAACCUGAUUAAAAAAUGAUAAAUUGAUCAAUUACAUAUUAAAAGCUAUUAAGUCCCCAAGAAGUAUCAGCUAUUAAAAUAUAAGCUAAUACUUCAGAGAUCACUACAGAAGCCAAAAGCAAUGCCUUUGCUAGUUUAUUUGGUAAACAAGCAACUCUUGCUAUCCAACCCAUUUAGAUGCUAUUGACAUCUAUCUUAUUAAGCAUUCGGAGAGACAAUUGACUCAAUUUAGAUAAAUAUAAUUGCUUACAACUUAACUAUUCUAUUUAACCUUUGCAACCAAAGCAUAAGUAUUAUUAUUAUUUUCUCUCAUUUUACAGAUGAGAAAUCCGAGGCUCAUAUGUAACGAGUUUCUUCAGGGGAACCAGGGUACAAACCCAGGUCCUUUUGAUGUUUAAAUCAAUAUGCUUAAUCACUACUACAGUAUAUUGCCAAAGAUUUUCU
rnacentral:lncRNA from 1 species